rnacentral:rRNA from 1 species
CCUACGGGAGGCAGCAGUGGGGAAUAUUGGUCAAUGGAUGCAAGUCUGAACCAGCCAUGCCGCGUGAGUGAUGAAGGCCUUAGGGUUGUAAAGCUCUUUCACCGGUGAAGAUAAUGACGGUAACCGGAGAAGAAGCCCCGGCUAACUUCGUGCCAGCAGCCGCGGUAAU